rnacentral:lncRNA from 1 species
AAAAAGAAAAUAAAAGCAUGAGAAUAUAAACAAAAAGUGGCCAAUGUGACUUGAACCCCCAACCUUGUGGUUACAGGCCAAAUGGCCAACCAUUGGGCCAAGUAUAUUCAGAUGAAAUAUAAAUACGCCCAUGCAUAAAUAAAAUAAGCUGGAAAUAAAAAAUGAAAAAAAACAAAGAGAGGGAUGCAACCUGAUACGAGGGAGGGGGUAAAAUAAAAAAAGUGUGGCCCAUUAAGG